UUUCGGUGUAUUUUGUGCAAGAAUAUGCAAUAAAAUCGUCUGCCUAAGAAAAAUUGAAUUUUUUUGUUAAUUUUUCAUGUUUUUGGAUGCGUUUUUGGUCAUAAAAAUGGUCUUCCUCUACUCGGAUCUGGGUGUCAAUUUUUUUCUACACUUUUCGGUGUAUUUUGUGCAAGAAUAUGCAAUAAAAUCGUCUGCCUAAGAAAAAUUGAAUUUUUUUGGUAAGUUUUUUAUGUUUUUGGAUGCGUUUUUGGUGAUAAAAAGGGUCUUCCUCUACUCGGAUCUGGGUGUCAAUUUUUUUCUACACUUUUCGGUGUAUUUUGUGCAAGAAUAUGCAAUAAAAUCGUCUGCCUAAGAAAAAUUGAAUUUUUUUGUUAAUUUUUUAUGUUUUUGGAUGCGUUUUUGGUGAUAAAAAGGGUCUUCCUCUACUCGGAUCUGGGUGUCAAUUUUUUUCUACACUUUUCGGUGUAUUUUGUGCAAGAAUAUGCAAUAAAAUCGUCUGCCUAAGAAAAAUUGAAUUUUUUUGUUAAUUUUUCAUGUUUUUGGAUGCGUUUUUGGUCAUAAAAAUGGUCUUCCUCUACUCGGAUCUGGGUGUCAAUUUUUUUCUACACUUUUCGGUGUAUUUUGUGCAAGAAUAUGCAAUAAAAUCGUCUGCCUAAGAAAAAUUGAAUUUUUUUGGUAAGUUUUUCAUGCUUUUGGAUGCGUUUUUGGUCAUAAAAAUGGUCUUCCUCUACUCGGAUCUGGGUGUCAAUUUUUUUCUACACUUUUCGGUGUAUUUUGUGAAAGAAUAUGCAAUAAAAUCGUCUGCCUAAGAAAAAUUGAAUUUUUUUGGUAAGUUUUUCAUGCUUUUGGAUGCGUUUUUGGUCAUAAAAAGGGUCUUCCUCUACUCGGAUCUGGGUGUCAAUUUUUUUCUACACUUUUCGGUGUAUUUUGUGCAAGAAUAUGCAAUAAAAUCGUCUGCCUAAGAAAAAUUGAAUUUUUU